rnacentral:misc_RNA from 1 species
AACUUUCGACAAUGGAUCACUUGGCUCUCGCAACGAUGAAGAACGCAGCGAAAUGCGAUACGUAAUGUGAAUUGCUUUCCGUGAAUCAUUGAAUCUUUGAACGCAUAUUGCACUCCUUUGGAGUAUGCCUGUUUGAGAAUCGUCUUUAUUCUCGCGAGAGGAGGUCGAGUGUCCCGUUUGGGUGCUUGGAAAUGCAAAAAGGCGCCAGCGCACGCCGUGUGUGAGUGAACGAUUUCGCUUCUCGAAUGCGGCCGUGUGCUUGUGUCUGUGCGGUUGAGGUCGAGUCCUAGCAGAGUCUUCUAGCAGAGAUCUUGCAGCAACUUUUAGUAGCCAAGAGAUCCUCCUAGAGCUAGCAGCUAGCAGCUAGUAGACCCAACCUCAAAGAAACUACUCUAGAUCUCAAAUCAGGCAGGAAGACCCGCUGAACUUAAGCAUAUCAAUAAGCGGAGGCU